rnacentral:tRNA from 1 species
GCGGCUAUGGUGUAAUGGCAGCACUGAUGGUUGUGGACCAUCCAGUAGCAGUUCGAAACUGCUUAGCCGCC